CUCGUUUAAAAUGGUCUCAUUUUUCGUGAAGGCGGUGCCACCGUCGGAUCUGAACCGGAACAGGGGGUACGAUGGAUCUCUUAGCUUCUUCUCCUGGCUUCUUGUUCUCUCCCUUAUCGGUUGCUCUCCCGGCAUGGCCUAGAUCAUCGUCAAUCUCAAUUUCAGGGGUAUACACAUUAUUGAUUCGAUGGUACUCUCUGUUCUUGGCUGGUUUUAGGGAUUUCAUCGAGUGAAUCCAGUUCGUGUGUGUUGUUGAAUUGGUGGUUUAUUGGAUUUUUUUUAUUUUGUUAGAGUUCAAUGGCUUUGAUAUUUUGCCUCUUUCAUGUCGUUGAUUCCUGUUGGAUUUGUAUAGUUCUGAAUGAGGCUUUCGUCACGGCUUCCACUGAUUUCCAUUGUUUCUUCACCGGAU
rnacentral:lncRNA from 1 species